rnacentral:SRP_RNA from 1 species
CCUUGCCUCUCACGCGGCGUUAUCUCACUGAACUCCCCCAGGGCCGGAAGGCAGCAAGGGUAGGCGGGCUCUGACGGGUGCGUGAGGGGCACCUUGC